GAAAUUCUUGGCUGGUAACCGCGAAACCGACUGGAGCAGGAGCUGGGAGAACUGGAGAAAACUGCUCUAAUCUCACUUGACUCCAGCUAGGAGCUGAUGCUGCAUCGUAAUAACAUUUGCAGAGCGCUUUCACAGGCCCUGGAGUGACUUGUCUGAGAUUCCUCCAGAACUGAGCCCUUUGUUGGAACCAUACCCCAGCCCAUGGUCCCAUGACUAGGUGGAUAGUACUCCUUGUACCUCCUGCAACCCAGAACCCUGGCUGACCACUUUGAAGGAGGAUGCUCCAGCAGGUCAAUGGCCACAAUCCGGGGUCUGAUGGCCAAGCCAGGGAGUACCUCAGAGAAGACCUGCAGGAGUUCCUGGGUGGGGAGGUCCUGCUGUACAAGCUGGAUGACCUCACCAGGGUGAAUCCUGUGACACUAGAGACAGGUAUGGGCCUCCCAUUCCUCAGGAGUAUCAUCUCCAGGAGGUUGGAGGUGUGAUGAGAGUAGUCAGCACAGCUUCUCCAGGUCAGACGGAGGUCGGCAGGACUCCUGAUCUGGAGCCAGGUGGGCUGCUCCAGACCUCCACCUGAGGGAGCAUGACAGCUGCACCUGGGCUC
rnacentral:lncRNA from 1 species